rnacentral:rRNA from 1 species
CCCGCUGAACUUAAGCAUAUCAAUAAGCGGAGGAAAAGAAACCAACCGGGAUUGCCUCAGUAACGGCGAGUGAAGCGGCAAGAGCUCAAAUUUGAAAUCUGGCCCCUCCCGGGGUCCGAGUUGUAAUUUGGAGAGGAUGCUUCGGGUCCGGUCCCGGUCCAAGUGCUCUGGGAUGGGCCGUCGGAGAGGGUGAGAAUCCCGUCUGCAACCGGUGGCUGGGCCUGGGUGAAGCUCCCUCGACGAGUCGAGUUGUUUGGGAAUGCAGCUCUAAAUGGGUGGUAAAUUUCAUCUAAAGCUAAAUAUUGGCGAGAGACCGAUAGCGAACAAGUACCGUGAGGGAAAGAUGAAAAGCACUUUGGAAAGAGAGUGAAACAGUACGUGAAAUUGUUGAAAGGGAAACGCUUGAAGUCAGUCGCGUCGUCCGAGACUCAGCCUCGCCUCGGCUUGGUGUACUUCUCGGACGACGGGUCAGCAUCAAUUUUGCCCCUUGGAUAAUGGCGAGGGAAAUGUGACACCUUUGCGGGUGUGUAUAUAGUCUCUAGUCGCAUGCAAGGGUCGGGAUUGAGGAACUCAGCACGCGCCUUCGGGCGUCGGGGUUCGCCCACGAUACGUGCUUAGGAUGUUGGCGUAAUGGCUUUAAACGACCCGUCUUGAAACACGG